rnacentral:rRNA from 1 species
CAGUCGCCACGGUAAUACGAAGGGUGCAAGCGUUACUCGGAAUUACUGGGCGUAAAGCGUGCGUAGGUGGUGGUUUAAGUCCGUUGUGAAAGCCCUGGGCUCAACCUGGGAAUUGCAGUGGAUACUGGAUCACUAGAGUGUGGUAGAGGAUAGUGGAAUUUCCGGUGUAGCAGUGAAAUGCGUAGAGAUCGGAAGGAACAUCUGUGGCGAAGGCGACUAUCUGGGCCAACACUGACACUGAGGCACGAAAGCGUGGGGAGCAAACAGGAUUAGAUACCCGGGUAGUCCCUGUCUCUUAUAC